rfam:Aphanomyces invadans strain NJM9701 unplaced genomic scaffold supercont1.23, whole genome shotgun sequence.
CAUUUGGUGUUUUUCAACACCACCCACUCAGACAGAAAGUUUUAU